UACGUAGGGUGCGAGCGUUAAUCGGAAUUACUGGGCGUAAAGUGUGCGCAGGUGGCUGAGCAAGUCGAGUGUGAAAGCCCCGGGCUUAACUUGGGAAUUGCGCUCGAAACUACUUGGCUCGAGUGUGGCAGAGGAAGGUGGAAUUCCACGUGUAGCGGUGAAAUGCGUAGAGAUGUGGAGGAACACCAAUGGCGAAGGCAGCCUUCUGGGCCAACACUGACGCUCAUGCACGAAAGCGUGGGGAGCAAACAGG
rnacentral:rRNA from 1 species